GCUAGUGUGGUGUAGUGGCUUAAAUAUUGGUCUACAGCUCUAGAGAACAGGGUUCGAAUCCCUACUUAGCC